rnacentral:rRNA from 1 species
UACAGGGGGGGCAAGCGUUGUUCGGAAUUACUGGGCGUAAAGGGUCUGUAGGUGGCUUGCUAAGUCAGACGUGAAAUCCCUCAGCUUAACUGGGGAACUGCGUCUGAUACUGGCAAGCUUGAGUGCAGGAGAGGAACGCGGAAUUCCUGGUGUAGCGGUGAAAUGCGCAGAUAUCAGGAAGAACACCUAUGGCGAAGGCAGCUCUCUGGGACGGUACUGACGCUGAGACGCGAAAGCGUGGGGAGCGAACAGG